AAGUCGUAACAAGGUUUCCGUAGGUGAACCUGCGGAAGGAUCAUUAACACGUAUCCAAACGUUAAACAACCCCGUGAACAUACAACCUGCUCUGGUCGCCCGCUCGCAUGGACAAGCCCAGUAAAUCAAGCCCCGGAAAGUUUUUGAUUUGGGACCUCUGUGCGCGUGAGAAAAACUGACAGCGAUUCAUAGAAGCGGUAGGUCAAGUGACACGGCGUCCCCAAGUGACCAGUGAAUGAAAGUGUCGCUGGAGCGUCAAGGACGACUCUUCAAGAUUGCUAGAGGUCGACCACCGACCGGCUUCCGUGUAUACCGAGCUAACACCGCUCCCUUCCGAACAGAACCAAGAUAUCCAUUGUUAACAGUUGUUCGGGGGGCCUGCCCAUCCGUAUGGAUGCUUACAGGCAAGGCAAUAAAGUGGGGUC
rnacentral:misc_RNA from 1 species